rnacentral:rRNA from 1 species
UACGUAGGGGGCGAGCGUUGUCCGGAAUUACUGGGCGUAAAGCGCGUGUAGGCGGCGGUUUAAGUGAGGUGUGAAAGCCCGGGGCUCAACCCCGGGAUGCCGCUUGAAACUGGAUCGCUUGAGGCCGGAAGAGGGGAGUGGAAUUCCUGGUGUAGCGGUGAAAUGCGUAGAGAUCAGGAGGAACACCCGUGGCGAAGGCGGCUCCCUGGUCCGGGUCUGACGCUGAGGCGCGAAAGCGUGGGGAGCGAACAGG